GCGGCGGAACCGUACCAAAUUGGUAGUGGUUUUGGGGUGUGGCGUGACAGUUGUUUUGGUAUCAGAGCAAUAAGAGCAAGUGAAGAGAGAGUCUAGGAUGACCUAGGAGACCCUAGGUUGGUAAGCCCUAAGGUUAUAGGUGCGUGAGCGGAACGUGAACCUAUAGCGAUGGCGGAAGUUGAUUCGAUUGUGUGCUUCCGCCUGAUUUUUUUUGCGGUUGAGUCAUCAUGUGUCGUAAUUGUGACGAGGUAAUUGGUUAAGAUGACUGA
rnacentral:lncRNA from 1 species